CAAUGUGAUGGAGAGUGGGUUUAAACCUGGUUGCACGCAUGGCAAAGCAGGUACACUAUGCAGAAGCAGAGAGAGAUGAAGAAGGAAGAAGAAGAUGGGGAGGGAGAGCUGAAGACUUGCUAAACUGCUCAUGAAGCUUCCUCCCUGUAGGGAUUGAACCUGGGACCUUUGGUGCCUCAGGCAUGAAAGUCUUUUUACAUAGCCAUUAUGCUACCUCACCAACCCACUCCAGAAUUUUAAAGAUAUGGCAACACUGAGGUCCAGGAGGUGGCUUAGUGGAUGGAACAUUGGAUUCUAAGGCAUGAGGUCCAUAGUGUGAUCUAUAACAUCACAGUGCCAGAGUGAUGAUCUAGUUCUCUCACUCAUUAAAUAAUAAAUAAUUCUUAAAAACAAAAUAAGGGAACACACUCCAGAUAUACUGGUAAGUGAAAAGAGGAAGUUAUAAAACAGCAGGACUCCUAUUUUAUACAAUGUCUAUAUAAAUAUGCAUAAUAGCUACCAUUUAUAGUGUUGGACUGGGUACUUCAAUGUUUGCCAAGAACUUUACCCAUUCUGUCACUGAAGUAUCACAGCACUUUGCAAGGGAGACUUUUCUAACUGUCAGAGGUGGGAGUGGGUGACUGAAAGAAAAUUCAUCACAAUGUUCACAAAUGAAAAAAGAUUAUAGCCCCUGUCUCUGCGACUCCCUGUUCCCAAGAAUCUACUUCCAAAUGGGGGAUAUAUUUUUAACUUUUCUGCUUUUUACUUUCCAUUCUUUUCCAAAUUUUUAAAAUUAAAUUAAUAAAAUCAUUGGAACAUGUCUAGUCCAAAUAUUAUUUGUUCAAAAGUAUCUUCAGGAUCUCCACUAUUUGGGGUGGGUGGCAAAUUUCUCUUUGUAUCAAUUUACUUCUAUAGCAAACCACAAACUAGGGAGCUUUAAUUAAACAAAAAAUUACUGUUAUAUAGACUGGGAAUAUGAAAGCAAGGAGUUGGCAGGUUAGCUUCUUCAGGAAGUUGUGACCUUUCUUUCAGUCCAGACCUUUCUCUUAGUUUCUGCUAACCUCUGAUAUUCUUUGUCUAGUUUCUCCCUGUGUUUCUUCACAUCAUCUUCUGCAUAUUUGUGUCCAAAUUUCCUCUUUAUAGAAGGAUAACAGUUAUGUUGGAUCAGGGCUUACCCAAAUAACCCCAUUUUGA